rnacentral:lncRNA from 1 species
CCUCGUGUGUGACUCGAGAGAAUGAGAAUGGCGUUGUUGUUUUUUUUCUUCUACGAGAGAGAGGAUUUAUUAUUAUAAUUCUGGAGGAGGGAAUUGUAAUGAAAUUGGACGAAUUUUAUUAUUAUUCGAAGAAUUUCUUUCGAGAAGAAACUUGAACUUGUGGAGAAACUAUGAAGUCUGUUUAAAGUUUUAUAAAACUUGUUUCAUAAUUGUGAAUAGUAAUGAACAGUACGUGAAAUAAUAGGAAGGAAAUAAGCGUUCGAUAUAGGAGGAUAACGGAGCUCGUAAAGAGUCGUAAACGAAUUAUGAUCGACGCUCGAUUGCGGAAACGUAUGAAUCAACUGAUAGUUGAUGACUCAUCCCUCCCCCUCCCCCGUCAAUUUAUGAACUCCCUGGACACUUCGGUUUUAAUCAGCUACGUCACGGACGUCAAUUACUCAUCGUUUAUAAUAAAGGAAGAAGAUAAUGAACAAGCAACUACUUAUGUACAUACGUUCGGUAUUCUUAUUGAAGACAAUCGAAAGCGAUAAUCGAGAAUGCAAAUAUCGGCGCCAUUUCCAAGGGCGAGAACGAUCGAGAUUCCAAUCCAAGAUUUUCAUUUUGCCAUUGGGAAUCCAAUUGUUUUAUUAAGAAAAAAAAAAUAUAUUCUCUUCUCUCUUCGAAUUUAUUUCGUCACAAUUCAUUACAAUUUCAUUUUCGAGAAGAAUAUCGUAUCAACGGGGAUUAAAAUGGAUUAAAAUUAAAGAAGGUCCGAAUGACUGAAAAGCAAGGCGAAAUGUUAAAGGCAGGCACGUUUAGGGGGAUCAUCUUCCACGGCGGAAACAUUGUUUCUGUACCCGUUUCGCGACACGAUUCGCCACAAUAUUGCACAUUAAUCGCAUAACCGUUGGUUGCGCAACCAACGUGGCUUCCAUUGUGCGAGUCGUAAGCGCGCAGACACGAUCGACGAUAAUAAUGAUCUUUUGUCUUUCUUUGGCCAAAGGACGCGUUAACGACGCGCGACUUAGACGCCCGGCUAAAGAUCCACGUGUCACGUUAUUUGUUUCCUAUUGUGCCGUAAAUAACAGAGCCGGGAUGGUAAUUCUCUCGCGUGGAUAAAACCGGGCCUUGGAGAAGAUACGACAUUAUUCCGAUGAUAUAUCAACGAGAUUUCGAAUAUUUCUUGGGACGAAAUAGGAAUGCUCUAAAAAUUUCGAAUUAUUUUGUGCAUACAGGGAUCGAAAAUUCGGGGAAGCUUUUCAAUUUGUGAGGGGAAAUUUAUUUCCUGGCAAUGGCAUAUUCCAGUUCGCUGAACGAGCUGUCCAAGCACGGUUAUGCUAAAGCCAAAUCGGAAUCAUCUUGCUCCUGACGAGGGUUAAUUUCGUUAUCCAUCAAGUGUUUGUCCACUAGAGUCGUUGUCACUCGGGGGAUGAACUGCGAGGCAACGAAAACAGGAUUGCAGACUUAAGAGUCUUAACGUUCACCCACCCAUCCCUCUCCGAGAUGAUUACAACGCGUCAAUCUAUCGAGAUUCGCCAACCAAUGUACACAAGGAAUAAUACUUCUCUUCGUGGUAUUAUAUAAACUGACGAGCUCUUUCUCCGUUUAAUUGAGAAUCUUUUUCAGAAAAAAAAAAAAGGAUACUAAAAAUCAACUCCUUUUUAUCUCGAAUCUACAUCCAGGAACAAUUAAUUAGUGUCACGAUUCGAAGCAAGAAUUAAUAGGAACAAUCAUAGAAUCAACUUGUUACAUAUCCUUUGGAAAACAAAUUUUUCUUCCACGAAAGGACAAACUUUUAUCGCUUUGCAAAGCGAUUAACACCGAUUCGUGGACGCUAAAAUUCGACGGAACGGCCAAUAAGAUCCUCUUCUCCCCUCGAAAUGGGAUGGACGGAAGUUCUUGGCGGGUAAACUUGUUUAAUGAACGAACAAGGGACGUCUGUCCACCGUCUGGCAAAUCGUCGGCGGCCCACACCCCUACGUGAGUCAGCUCUCGGAACUGCCAGCAACGAGAUUUCGCUAACUUGGCGCGAAUCAUAGCCCCAUAGCCAAAAUGGAUCUUUUCAUCCCUCUCUCCGUAUUCACAGCUAUCCGUGGUAUACGUGUCUCCCUUGUCGACAACUGCGAGAAACUCAUCUAACGUGAUUUCGGUUUCACCAGGCUCGAGGAAUGGUAUCGAGGAUGGAGAAACAGUUGUCUAGUCGUUUGUUGGACACGUGUACAGGAGAUAAUGUUGAUAGAUCGUGGGAAAGGUAAGUGAUUUUUUUGCUUUUGAUAUCUGAAGAUAAAUGAAUGAUAAUUCCUUUCGAAAAUAUUGUAUACGUGGAUCGAUAUCGUUAAAGUUAAUUAUUCCAGAAAGAAUGUUGGAGCAAAGGGUAAUUCGAAUAACGAAACGAUUAACAGGGGACGAUUAAUUGGGAAGAUAGAAGUGAAAGAGGGAUAAGGGGGGAGAGUGGUAUCAAGCAUCAGAAACUGGGAAAUUUUCAUCGGUCGAUGCACGCAACUCGGGGGUUGGGGAAGAGAGAAUGACCACGAUCCUUUGAAGUCUUGUCAGGGCUGCUUUUCAGAUUAUAUUCUCCAAAGAGAAUGCUUCAAACGAGUUCUCUUUUCUCCGGUGACAAAACCAGAAUAACAGUUUAACAGGCGUGUUUAUGGAAAGGAGGUGAGAGGGAAGCAAAGAGGGGGAAGCUGUCUGCGGCAAAGUUCUCAUUUUCGCGGGUAUCAAAAGGUGGCCGCAGGUGGUAUCUGCACUCGUCUUCUGGCUGGGAUCGACAGUCAGGAUGAUCCCUUUGUUUCUCGAUAUAAAUCAAUAUAUCCUCAAAUUGCUCCUGUCGCGAGAUUUCCAAUCGUGACAGAUAUUAUCGAUCUUUUCCCUGUGGAAAGGGAAAUAUCCAUAAAUAUUCAUUUUCAUGAAUAAAAAAAAAAGAAAGAGGGGAAAAAUAUUCCAUUUCAUAAAUCUCCGAUCUUUUAACUCGUGUUUCGAUCGGAUGAACGAGAAACACAGGAAAGUAUCGAUUCAAAAAUCUUGUUGUCCCGGAUAAAAAUUGUAAUUUUCGUCCAGGUCUCGUUUUAAAUAUUCCUUGUCGUACCAUUUGUGCAAUAUGUAUACAAUUUAUCUUUUGUAGCAGUGUCCACGAUUUGAUUGUCACGUAUUCCGUAAAUCGAGAAAAAACGCAGCUGAAGCUAUUCCAUAUUGACAGACGAAAUAUAUAUAUAUAAAGAGAGAAAAAAUAUAGAAAGAGGACGAUUAUACACAAGAACCAAUAACACAAUUUUCUGUUUUUAAUCUUUUUGAAUAUAUCAAUUAAAUGCUAAAAUAAAUCGAAAAGUUCAACCACGACUUGGAUGUUUAUCAAGAAAGAAUUACUCGAAGGGAAUUUUUAAUUUAUUCCAUCUUACGUGACUUUUGCCUCUGUUUUAUUCUAUCUUCGAGUUAACCAUAGUUUCGAAGAGAAUAAGAAAAAUUUAAGAAUUAAAAAAAAAAAAAAGAAGAGAAGAGUUUAAUGAUUAAAAUUCGUAGGAAGGAAUCGUUCAAAUAUCCUUGAUAUUCGAGGAAUGUUGAGAGGCACAAGAGGCGUCGAUAUUUCAUUUUCCAGGCGAUCGGUAAACCAAUCACAACGAGGAAAAGUACCUCUCCACCCUUUGUGUCUCGCGAUCUUGGCGUAACUUGUUAAUGAACCACCCUCGACACCCGCCGCAACCAUAACCGCCAACUUUGAUCCUAUCGCUCGCCUUUCUGUCGCGACGAUUAUGGCAAAUCCAAGGUUUUUCUUUUUUCAAUUUUUUAUCCCGCCUGUAAACGAGGCUGUUAACCAUAUUAAAUUUGCCUCAUUAACUUAUGGAAGCAUUAUCAUAUAAUAUAAUAACAGCGAAACAUUGUCGUGACCUCGUGCAAUUAACUGAGGGAUAACAGAAGAGUUUAAUUUGAAAGAAAAUAUUUCGCAAAAACGAAUGACGUAAAGGUGUUCGAAUUAUCAAAUAAACGUUACGAACGUUGGGAAGAAAAAUCUAAUAACCUGAUAACAUUGAGGAGUGUGGUAUAUUUCAAACCAUUUAAGCAAAUGGAACGGCCAUUGUUCUACAUCAGACAGCCUCGUAAUUCUUUCCUCAUAGUGUAUUUCCUUGCUUGACAUCUUUUAAUAAAUUAUAAAUUAAACUGCUAGUUUAUAUUUACCAUCCAAUUUGAUUAAUCUUUAUUUUACUAGAAUACAAGAAAUAACUAUACAACUCGUUUCAAUAUAUCCAAACAUACUCCAGAGGAUUAAUGCACAAUUCACUCAAAAAAGAUGCAUUGUUUCCAAAGCGAUCGAACAAAGAAAUCUGAAUCGCUGUUUAAAUUUUCCAUCCCCAAGAAGAUUCGAAGCGGAAGAGGAAAUGUACCGGUUGAACACAGCACCAUCCACUCUUUACACGGUUCGAGGAUUAUUUACACGGCCCGUGAAAAAUCCUCCGAUCGGAUGCAACAAACUUGUUUACGAGCGGUUUGAGCCAGGGCGGCAGCUCUGAUACGCGUCGACCAUCCCUCCCUUUCUCCAACCCCUUUGUCCCAACUCCGCGCCCCAAUCGGGAUCAAUAUGUUCCCCGGUCGUGGAUCGUCGUGGAAACGUUGUGGAAAACGCCUUGCACCGAGGUAAGGACGAUAAAUCUUGAUUUCGGGGCAUUGAUAUGCCUUGCCGUGUCUCGAGGAAACGCUGUUGGAAGCGCGAGAUCGAUGGAUCCCCGCUUCAUGGGGGAUAAUUUCGAAUGGCGGAUGCAAUCCAGGGUGCAGACGAUACUGUCGGGAUCCAUCCACUUCCGGGAUGUCCCUUCCGCGUGGCUUUAUCUCUCGAUUAUUGACUGGUUUCGAAACGAGAAGCCGUUAUCGCUUUGCGUUUCUAUUCACGCGAUCGAUGAAGGGACGGUGAUGUUUCUUAACGAAUGAUGGAUACGAAUGAUGGUUUGGUAGAAAUUUGCAGAUGAAGUAUUUCUUUAAUAUGUUUCAGUGUUUACAUCUUGAAUUAUUGUAAUUUGAUAUCUUAAUCAAUUGUAUAAACUAUAUCAAUUGUGGGGAAAGGUAUUGUAUAGGAAAUACGAUGAUCGAGAUGAAAGUUAUUUAAUCAAUUGGCAGACUUCGAAUGUUAAAGAAAUGUUAAAGUGGAAGAUCGAGUGGAAUUCGUUGAUCUUGAAUUCAACUAUUUUUAAAGUGCAAAUUCUAUUUUUUUUUUUAACGAUAAUAUAAUGUACACGCAUAGAUAUGUAAGUAUAUUUUAGUGAGAUAAUUUAUUUUCAAGGAAGCCACGAUACAAUAAAUUGAACGUUUAACACACGUGUGUGUGUGUGUACUCGUUUUACAUGAAUGUAAUAUUAAUGAUAACUUUGAAAUUCCUUCUAUCGGUUUUAUUUAUUAUACUUUUCGAGUUAUUCGGUUCAAAAAUAUUCAAGGUUAAUCAAGGAAACACGGAAAAUAUUACGAAACAGUGAAAUAGUUUUUAAAGAUGAUCUAAUUCUAGACAAAUUAUAAAUAUAACAAAAACGAGAGAGUGUCUACUGAAAAUUCAAUCG